rnacentral:rRNA from 1 species
CCUACGGGGGGCAGCAGUGAGGAAUAUUGGUCAAUGGACGAGAGUCUGAACCAGCCAAGUAUCGUGAAGGAUGACUGCCCUAUGGGUUGUAAACUUCUUUUAUAUGGGAAUAAAAUGUUCCACGUGUGGGAUUUUGUAUGUACCAUAUGAAUAAGGAUCGGCUAACUCCGUGCCAGCAGCCGCGGUAAUACGGAGGAUCCGAGCGUUAUCCGGAUUUAUUGGGUUUAAAGGGAGCGUAGGUGGAUUGUUAAGUCAGUUGUGAAAGUUUGCGGCUCAACCGUAAAAUUGCAGUUGAAACUGGCAGUCUUGAGUACAGUAGAGGUGGGCGGAAUUCGUGGUGUAGCGGUGAAAUGCUUAGAUAUCACGAAGAACUCCGAUUGCGAAGGCAGUUCACUGGACUGCAACUGACACUGAGGCUCGAAAGUGUGGGUAUCAAACAGGAUUAGAUACCCCUGUAGUC